rnacentral:rRNA from 1 species
UUCCAGGAAAAGCCUCUAAGCUUCAGAUUGUAAGGAAUCGUACCCCAAACCGACACAGGUGGUCGGGUAGAGAAUACCAAGGCGCUUGAGAGAACUCGGGUGAAGGAACUAGGCAAAAUGGUACCGUAACUUCGGGAGAAGGUACGCUCUUGAUGGUGAAGUCCCUCGCGGAUGGAGCUGACGAGAGUCGCAGAUACCAGGUGGCUGCAACUGUUUAUUAAAAACACAGCACUGUGCAAAAUCGUAAGAUGACGUAUACGGUGUGACGCCUGCCCGGUGCCGGAAGGUUAAUUGAUGGGGUUAGACUUCGGUCGAAGCUCUUGAUCGAAGCCCCGGUAAACGGCGGCCGUAACUAUAACGGUCCUAAGGUAGCGAAAUUCCUUGUCGGGUAAGUUCCGACCUGCACGAAUGGCGUAAUGAUGGCCACGCUGUCUCCACCCGAGACUCAGUGAAAUUGAAAUCGCUGUGAAGAUGCAGUGUACCCGCGGCUAGACGGAAAGACCCCGUGAACCUUUACUACAGCUUGGCACUGAACAUUGACCCUACAUGUGUAGGAUAGGUGGGAGGCUUUGAAGCACGUACGCCAGUAUGUGUGGAGCCGUCCUUGAAAUACCACCCUUGUAGUGUUGAUGUUCUAACGUCGACCCCUUAUCGGGGUUGCGGACAGUGCCUGGUGGGUAGUUUGACUGGGGCGGUCUCCUCCCAAAGAGUAACGGAGGAGCACGAAGGUGGGCUAAUCACGGUUGGACAUCGUGAGGUUAGUGCAAUGGCAUAAGCCCGCUUGACUGCGAGAAUGACAAUUCGAGCAGGUGCGAAAGCAGGUCAUAGUGAUCCGGUGGUUCUGAAUGGAAGGGCCAUCGCUCAACGGAUAAAAGGUACUCCGGGGAUAACAGGCUGAUACCGCCCAAGAGUUCAUAUCGACGGCGGUGUUUGGCACCUCGAUGUCGGCUCAUCACAUCCUGGGGCUGAAGUCGGUCCCAAGGGUAUGGCUGUUCGCCAUUUAAAGUGGUACGCGAGCUGGGUUUAGAACGUCGUGAGACAGUUCGGUCCCUAUCUGCCGUGGGCGUUGGAAGAUUGAAGGGGGCUGCUCCUAGUACGAGAGGACCGGAGUGGACGAACCUCUGGUGUUCGGGUUGUGUCGCCAGACGCAUUGCCCGGUAGCUAAGUUCGGAAUCGAUAACCGCUGAAAGCAUCUAAGCGGGAAGCGAGCCCUGAGAUGAGUCUUCCCUGAUACUUUAAGUAUCCUAAAGGGUUGUCGGAGACUACGACGUUGAUAGGUCAGGUGUGUAAGUGCUGUGAGGCAUUGAGCUAACUGAUACUAAUUGCCCGUGAGGCUUAACCAU